ensembl:sense_intronic Peg13 paternally expressed 13
UGCGCACUGAGAUCCGCUGACUGCCUUGCUGCCAUGGCCACGGUGUAGAUAGCCUUCCCUGCCAACUCAGUGGAGCACCCUUAGGCUGCAGGUCUCCAUCCAGUGUGGCUGCGCACCGAUACCCUAAAGGUUGCUACCUCAGUAGAACCAUGCUGAUCAACUGUGGGGCCUCAUUGUGUGGGCUGCCGGCCUCGUGGACUGGCGUUCCUACCCGGUAGAGGGCGCCGAAGAAUGUGUCUCCACCGAGCAGAUUGCCGCAUUGCCGCACCUGCGCACUGAAGUCUGAGCGGACUCGCCCAGCAGACUGCGUCACAGCUGCCUGCAUUCCAGAUCUCGACAGACGUCUCUAAAGACUGCAGACUGCGGCACGGCUGGAAGCUGAGCGAACCCCUUUACUACAGCUCUGUGACCACGAACCAAAGAGGACCCGGUGGCUUGUUAGCCCAUCUUAUUGAGAUUUUAGGCCUUGUGUGAUAGCUCAUCCAAGCGCUGGUGCUAUGUAGACGAUCAUUGCCGCGGCUCUCCGACCAGCUUCGGCUCUCCGGGAAGAUCCGCGGCCUUUACUCUGAAAAUGGUUGGAUAGAAGACCUGCGAUACUGCCGCGGAGCCGGGAGUUUUUCACUUGUGGUGGUGACUGAGGAAUGGGCUAAAGGAGGCACAGAAAAAGCCCAGAUAUCUGUGUUGGUGCAGCUCGUGCGAGGAUACCUUCGAGCGUUGAGAUACCUUCGAGCACAGAACCCUGCAGCUUGCGAUGCAACGGAGAGCUUGGCCGAUCUUUUUACCCUGGAGACGCUAGCACAGAGGCUCGCCAUCACCCUGUGGAUAGGCGCAUUGUGGUCGUAGCAUAAUGAUGAGCCAUAGAAGUCUCCACGCUUGGCUGGGACUUGGGCGUAUGCCGUUACCCAGCCAACGCCUGUACAGCUCUUUGUUAUCUUAAUCCUGGGGAAUUACACAUAUUUGUGGCUGCACUUCAGUGACUGAACGGAUGUUCUUACCUUGGAGAUAGAGGCACAGUGGAGCUGUGCACGGAUACCCAACGAAGCAUCCUUAGAGGGUGGAUCACUUGAAUGGUUUUGGUGGCGCACUAAGGUUCUGCAUGGUAUUUUUUUUCCCCGCGGAUGGUGGCGCAGCAGAGCUGUGCACAGAUAACCUCAGAGUGCCUCACCCUAUAUGGCUGCUGCUUGCGCACUAAGGAAUUAAAUGGAUAUCCUUAUUUUGGAUGAUGGUUUAACAGAGUCUGAACUACUUGGCGGAUGCCUGCAUUGUGGUGGCUGAGCACCAAAUGCCCGAGUGGAUUUUAACCAGAGAUGUUGGUAUAGCAGAAACCCGUAUUUGUGGAUAAGUGCAUCUUGACAGCUGCGUUUGAAAAGCCUAAGAGGAUCUUAUCCCGAGGAUGGUGUUUCUGAGCAUCCUUACCCUGAGUGUAACUACAUUGUGACUGCUGCACACUAAAAAUUUGGGCUUCUUUGAUUUAUUUAUUUAUUUUGCCCUAAGGAUAAGGGCAUUGUGAAACGUCCUUCCUUCCUUUGUGUGGUGGCUGCAUACUAAGGAUCAGAGAAGAUUUUAUUCCGGGAAUGGAGGUGGAGUAUUUAGACCCCGCAGGCCACUCUGUGGCCAUAGCUGCAUACAAAGGUUGGGUAUGGUAAGAGCGAUCAUCUUUACCAUGUGGAUAUAUACAUUGCAGCAUCUGGGCAUUAAGGAUCCAGGCUGAUGUUAUUUUGGAGCUGGUGGCACAAUGAGAAGCGUCCUUUUACUGUUCCAUUGUGUUGGCUGUGCACUAAGAAUCUAGGCAGAUACCCUUAUCUUGGGGACAAAGGCACAAUGGAACGCCCUCGCCCAGAUGGUAGCCUCAUUGUUGUGGCUGCACAUUAAGAUCUGGAAUUGUUAAGGCUGCGCCCAUCACGGCUGCAUCUGUUUCCCCAGGAUCUGGGCGGGUCAUUUUGCUCUGUGUGUAGGCAGAGGCACAGCUGGAAGCUGGAUGGCUGACCUCAGCUUUGUGCAGCACUGUGUCACCUUGGAGCCCUGCUCACCCACUGGAUUUCUCUUAUUCUGUGAAUAGUUGCAUUCUUGGGUCCAUACUCUACAGACUAAGAACGUGGGUGGGAUUUCAAACCUGCCAACCUGUGUCACAGAUGUAUUUGUUUGUUCGGAUCAGGGCACUUUAUUCCCACAGAAUGCCUCACAGCAAGGAGAUGGGCAGAUGGCUUUGUCCUGAGGGUUGGGGGAUGACCCAGUGGAGCCUUUACUCUGUGGAUAGCCACACUGAGUGGCAUGCUAAGGACCCAGACAGGCUCUAUAGCCAUGCAGGCUUCGUCACAGCUGCAUACACACAGCCAAAGCCUGGUGUGGCAUUCUUACACCGCGGAUGGUUUUCCCGAGGAGCUCACUGCACCUACUGAGUGGCUGCAUCAGCACUGCUACCCUCAAGAUGGAGGGCAGACAUCUUUAUGCUGGGGUUUAUACAACAGCACUGGGUUAUGAUAACUCAGAAGGGCAUCUCACCUCUCUGUGGCUGCAGGGGUGCCAUAGGCACCGAGAUGACUUCGGCAGACAUCUUCGUCUUUUGUAUGGUGGUACAGCAAAGGUGUGAACAAACCAAACCAAAUUUCUGUCUGGUUGCUGCUACAUGUGGAGGACCCAGGAGUGCUUCCUUGCCCUCAGGAAGCCAUGUUGUGUCCCAUUCAAACGGUAUUUGGAUUUCUGUUCUUUGUGACGACGGCACUGCUUUGAGUGAGCACCAAGGAUGCCAGUGGAGGGUUUUACCCUGCCGUCAAGGGUUGAUCAAGGACCCGGCCAGCAAUCCUUAUCUUACAAGGGAGCAGCAUGACCUGAUGUCACUGCCUUAUAGAUGGCUGUGAGGAUCACCGAUCCCCUUGGCAGAUGUCCUUGCCCCAAAGACGGUGAAAGUGCAGAGCUAUAGUGAGAUUCCACUUGGGUGCCUCAUGCUCUCAUGGCUGUAGCUGUGUGGAAGAGACCAGGCAGACGUCCUUGCCACGCUGCUGAGGCACAGUGGAGCUAUCUGCAGACAAGGCAUCCUCAUUUGGGCAGCAGUGGUUGUGCACCGAGUUCCUGGGUUGAUGUCUGCAUAGGAUGGUGACAUAGAGAACCUGCAGACUCAUUAACCAGUUGGCUUUCUUUAUGCUGUGGCUUUUAGGAUGGAUGCUUCAGCUCCAAGGAAAUGGUUGGGUAUCCUUACCCAGCGAAGAAUGCUGUGCUUUGGGGUGUUUACUGAAGACCGGGCAGGUGUUUUUUUAACUCUGCCAACUGCAUAUAUUGGAUUAUGGCUGUGUGUGUGUGUGUCGGGGGGGCGGGAUGUACCAAGGACCCAGGUGUUUAGCCUUCCUCUUUGGAUUGCAGCAGGACUCCCAGCGUACCCCAAGGACCACAGCAGUCUUGAUCACAUCGCUUGGGGAGGAUCUGGGAGUCGUCUUGUUGGCUUGGGUUUGCAGCGGUAGCUGCUGCUUGUGAGCAGUGAGGCACUCUCUGGGCUCCCACCCAUCGGGGCUGCCCGAUCCUCUCUGCCAGGCCACACUUGCAAGGAUCUUGUGGCACAUCAGCUUUCAGUACUGACUGGAGGAGAAGGCUUCCGCACGGCUGGAGCUCCAAGGGGGCUCAGACAGGCCUACUUUCCAGCGUGCAGAUCCUCUCCUGUACCCAGUCCCUUCAGAACUCAACCAGGUUCCACUCCAGUCUUCUCAGGAUCUGUUAAAGAAAACACCAGUCUCGGAUAUCUCCGAGUCGUGUCUAACUCUUCUCUUUCCUCUCUGUGCUUAGCACUCUAGUACCUUCUGUUCUCUCUGUGUUUUUAAUGUUCCCAGUGUUUAGCAGCCUUGGAUUUACCCCUACCCCACCCCUGUGCCUUUACCCCCCGCCCCUUCCCUCCCUUUGGCACUAUCCUUACCCCAUCUUAGCUGAACAGGGUUGUAGAGUAGAUGGGAACAUGCCCACCUUACUGUCUUUGUGAAAACUUUUCCUUCUGAACUGCUUUUCCUUAGCUAGCUACAAGGCUGCCUCCUUGUCUCAGCCAGGUCUCUGCAGAACCAUAUAACCUUGAUAACCCAGCGGCAAGGCAUGUAUUGUAGCCACACUCUUCCCUCCCAAGACGAUUAGCUUGGGUUGCCUCCACAGCCCCCUAACUAGUUUCUAGUGUUUCCCCAAUAGUCUGUUGUUUAUAGUAAUCCCAUUCAAACCAAAGUGAGACUUCCCAGCUGUGCCUCUCUAGCUAUUUAGAAUAGACUCCCACAGUCCUUACAAUGGCAGGCAAGCUGUUUAUGACCUGUCCCAAACCUUUCCCUCUGCCCCCACAUUUGUCCCGCUCCUUCCCACCCGCUGGCAUCUAGCCCUAGCUCAUCCUAGCUGAAGAGGUUGAAGGAAUAUGUGGGUACAUGCCCACCUUAUUGUCUAUAGCUAUGAGGCUGCCUCCUCCCCUCCCUCCAACAGGCUUUGCUGACCUAUAAUCCAGUCAGUGCAGCAGCAAGGCAUGCAUUGUAGGCACCCUCUCCCCUCCCACCACCCAGCCCCAGGUUCCUGAGUUUCUCACAGUAGUCAAUAUGCUUAUCGAUAGACUAUCUUUUGCUUGUGGUCCUUCCCCUUGCUUAUAGGUAAGCUUCCUGUGGAGGGGGUCCCCAUUGGAUUCAUUGAUGUGUACUAUGUAUUUGUUAUAUUGUAUCUUCAAUAAAUAAAUGUUGCAAGUGUGCCUCCUGAA